GUUGGUGCGUUCGAGAGAAUCUAUGGUGGGCGUAAGAGGAACGGUAGUGCUCCACCACAUUUCAGCAAAAGCAGCGGUGGUAUCAUUUGUCAUAUCCUUCAAUAACUGGAAACAAUGAAAAUCGUUGAUAUGGAUCCCAAUGGAGGGAGAAGAAUCACUUCAAAUGGUCGGUGGGACCUUGAUCAAGUUGCUGGGCGAAUUGUUGUUGCUGUUUGAUUCCAGUCAUAUUUUUUAUGUUAUGUAGCUUAUACAUUUAGCAUGAAGGAACAAAUUUUGGUUGUUUUUU